rnacentral:rRNA from 1 species
GACUGCGUACCUUUUGUAUAAUGGGUCAGCGACUUAUAUUCUGUAGCAAGGUUAACCGAAUAGGGGAGCCGAAGGGAAACCGAGUCUUAACUGGGCGUUAAGUUGCAGGGUAUAGACCCGAAACCCGGUGAUCUAGCCAUGGGCAGGUUGAAGGUUGGGUAACACUAACUGGAGGACCGAACCGACUAAUGUUGAAAAAUUAGCGGAUGACUUGUGGCUGGGGGUGAAAGGCCAAUCAAACCGGGAGAUAGCUGGUUCUCCCCGAAAGCUAUUUAGGUAGCGCCUCGUGAAUUCAUCUCCGGGGGUAGAGCACUGUUUCGGCAAGGGGGUCAUCCCGACUUACCAACCCGAUGCAAACUGCGAAUACCGGAGAAUGUUAUCACGGGAGACACACGGCGGGUGCUAACGUCCGUCGUGAAGAGGGAAACAACCCAGACCGCCAGCUAAGGUCCCAAAGUCAUGGUUAAGUGGGAAACGAUGUGGGAAGGCCCAGACAGCCAGGAUGUUGGCUUAGAAGCAGCCAUCAUUUAAAGAAAGCGUAAUAGCUCACUGGUCGAGUCGGCCUGCGCGGAAGAUGUAACGGGGCUAAACCAUGCACCGAAGCUGCGGCAGCGACGCUGAUGCGUUGUUGGGUAGGGGAGCGUUCUGUAAGCCUGCGAAGGUGUGCUGUGAGGCAUGCUGGAGGUAUCAGAAGUGCGAAUGCUGACAUAAGUAACGAUAAAGCGGGUGAAAAGCCCGCUCGCCGGAAGACCAAGGGUUCCUGUCCAACGUUAAUCGGGGCAGGGUGAGUCGACCCCUAAGGCGAGGCCGAAAGGCGUAGUCGAUGGGAAACAGGUUAAUAUUCCUGUACUUGGUGUUACUGCGAAGGGGGGACGGAGAAGGCUAUGUUGGCCGGGCGACGGUUGUCCCGGUUUAAGCGUGUAGGCUGGUUUUCCAGGCAAAUCCGGAAAAUCAAGGCUGAGGCGUGAUGACGAGGCACUACGGUGCUGAAGCAACAAAUGCCCUGCUUCCAGGAAAAGCCUCUAAGCAUCAGGUAACAUCAAAUCGUACCCCAAACCGACACAGGUGGUCAGGUAGAGAAUACCAAGGCGCUUGAGAGAACUCGGGUGAAGGAACUAGGCAAAAUGGUGCCGUAACUUCGGGAGAAGGCACGCUGAUAUGUAGGUGAAGUCCCUUGCGGAUGGAGCUGAAAUCAGUCGAAGAUACCAGCUGGCUGCAACUGUUUAUUAAAAACACAGCACUGUGCAAACACGAAAGUGGACGUAUACGGUGUGACGCCUGCCCGGUGCCGGAAGGUUAAUUGAUGGGGUCAGCGCAAGCGAAGCUCUUGAUCGAAGCCCCGGUAAACGGCGGCCGUAACUAUAACGGUCCUAAGGUAGCGAAAUUCCUUGUCGGGUAAGUUCCGACCUGCACGAAUGGCGUAAUGAUGGCCAGGCUGUCUCCACCCGAGACUCAGUGAAAUUGAACUCGCUGUGAAGAUGCAGUGUACCCGCGGCAAGACGGAAAGACCCCGUGAACCUUUACUAUAGCUUGACACUGAACAUUGAGCCUUGAUGUGUAGGAUAGGUGGGAGGCUUUGAAGUGUGGACGCCAGUCUGCAUGGAGCCGACCUUGAAAUACCACCCUUUAAUGUUUGAUGUUCUAACGUUGACCCGUAAUCCGGGUUGCGGACAGUGUCUGGUGGGUAGUUUGACUGGGGCGGUCUCCUCCUAAAGAGUAACGGAGGAGCACGAAGGUUGGCUAAUCCUGGUCGGACAUCAGGAGGUUAGUGCAAUGGCAUAAGCCAGCUUGACUGCGAGCGUGACGGCGCGAGCAGGUGCGAAAGCAGGUCAUAGUGAUCCGGUGGUUCUGAAUGGAAGGGCCAUCGCUCAACGGAUAAAAGGUACUCCGGGGAUAACAGGCUGAUACCGCCCAAGAGUUCAUAUCGACGGCGGUGUUUGGCACCUCGAUGUCGGCUCAUCACAUCCUGGGGCUGAAGUAGGUCCCAAGGGUAUGGCUGUUCGCCAUUUAAAGUGGUACGCGAGCUGGGUUUAGAACGUCGUGAGACAGUUCGGUCCCUAUCUGCCGUGGGCGCUGGAGAACUGAGGGGGGCUGCUCCUAGUACGAGAGGACCGGAGUGGACGCAUCACUGGUGUUCGGGUUGUCAUGCCAAUGGCACUGCCCGGUAGCUAAAUGCGGAAGAGAUAAGUGCUGAAAGCAUCUAAGCACGAAACUUGCCCCGAGAUGAGUUCUCCCUGACUCCUUGAGAGUCCUGAAGGAACGUUGAAGACGACGACGUUGAUAGGCCGGGUGUGUAAGCGCAGCGAUGCGUUGAGCUAACCGGUACUAAUGAACCGUGAGG